rnacentral:lncRNA from 1 species
UAUAUGACAGAGAAACAGAUAAGACGUACCACAGGAAAUUUCAUAGAGAAAUUUUAGAAUGGCGGGUGAAAUUACAUAAAUCAGAGUAUCUUUCUAAACACAAAGACGGUGAAAUGUAAGUGCAUAAUAUGCUUAUAUAAGUAAUAAGUUCAUUCAUUAAAUGUACCUUUUUUUAUUUAUAUAUUUAUUAAACAAAAAAAAUACACUUAUUCUUUUAAUACUGUUAAAGUUAAAUAUUUCCUUAAAACUGAUUUUAUAAAAUCACACAAUACAAUACAUUUCAGUCAACAUACCUCAUUAACCGGAAGAAAGCUUGACAAAGAGUUGAUUCUAUUUGAGAGGAAAUGCAAUGAAAACAUAAAUACAUACCUCGAUAGUGCAUCAUCUGGCCAAACGCCAAAGAAAAAUUUGAGUAUUUCACCAGUGUUUGUAACUGAAGAGGACAGAAACAAGUAUCAUGAUAUAGGAAGGAAAAACAAAACCGAAAUCAUAGUCAUUGUAGACAAUUUAAUUCAUGAAAUAAGAGAAAUGGGUAAUUUAUCUGAAGCCAUCCAACUUGAACAUCAGUGGGCGAAAAUAAAAGUAAACACCAAGAAUGAGAUUCUGCAAUUUUAUAAAGAAGUAACCAUUGCAUUAGAGGAUGCCACUUCAAUACAGACAGCAUGUGACCUAGAAUCGGACUCAAGCGACGAAUCAGACUAUGAAGAUUUUUAAUAUAACGAUGUAA